rnacentral:rRNA from 1 species
UACGAAGGGUGCAAACGUUGCUCGGAAUCAUUGGGCGUAAAGCGCACGUAGGCGGCAUUCUAAGUCGGAUGUGAAAUCCCUCGGCUCAACCGAGGACGUGCAUCCGAAACUGGAACGCUCGAGUAUGGAAGAGGGUCGCGGAAUUCUCGGUGUAGAGGUGAAAUUCGUAGAUAUCGGGAGGAACACCAGUGGCGAAGGCGGCGACCUGGGCCAAUACUGACGCUGAGGCACGAAGGCCAGGGGAGCAAACGGG